rnacentral:rRNA from 1 species
AUUGAACGCUGGCGGCAUGCCUUACACAUGCAAGUCGAACGGUAACAGGUUAAGCUGACGUGUGGCGAACGGGUGAGUAACGUAUCGGAACGUGCCCAGUCGUGUGGGAUAACUGCUCGAAAGAGCAGCUAAUACCGCAUACGACCUGAGGGUGAAAGCGGGGGAUCGCAAGACCUCGCGCGAUUGCAGCGGCCGGUAUCCGAUUAGGUAGUUGGUGAGGUAAAGGCUCACCAAGCCGACGAUCUGUAGCUGGUCUGAGAGGACGACCAGCCACACUGGGACUGAGACACGGCCCAGACUCCUACGGGAGGCAGCAGUGGGGAAUCUUGGACAAUGGGCGAAAGCCUGAUCCAGCAAUGCCGCGUGAGGGAAGAAGGCCUUCGGGUUGUAAAACGCUUUUGUCAGGGAAGAAAAGGUUCUGGAUAAUACCUGGGAAUCUUGACGGUACCUGAAGAAUAAGCACCGGCUAACUACGUG